GACGAACGCUGGCGGCGUGCUUAACACAUGCAAGUCGAACGGAAAGGCCCUGCUUGCAGGGUACUCGAGUGGCGAACGGGUGAGUAACACGUGGGUGAUCUGCCCUGCACUUCGGGAUAAGCCUGGGAAACUGGGUCUAAUACCGGAUAGGAGCCAUUUUUAGUGUGAUGGUUGGAAAGUUUUUUCGGUGUAGGAUGAGCUCGCGGCCUAUCAGCUUGUUGGUGGGGUAAUGGCCUACCAAGGCGGCGACGGGUAGCCGGCCUGAGAGGGUGGACGGCCACCACGGUAACGUGACCCGGCCGCGACGCGCGCAGGGGGCGUGAGGUGCUAUUAUAAGACACGCGGUGGAGGCGUGAGGCCGGCGCGCGGGGUGGGUGUUGAUGGCCCGCGGUUUGGCUACCUGUUUCGUAGGGCCCGAUGUUUUUUGCUACUGUGCCGAGAGAAGAAGCACCGCCUGACGACGGGCCAGCAGCCGGGGAACUCGUCGGAACAGCCCACGUCCGAAC
rnacentral:rRNA from 1 species